GGAGCAUCUGCAACGAACGGACAAUCCGGCCCGGUACAAAUCCGAAAGUUAAUAGUUUCAAACCGUGCAAGGUGAAUAGUGAAGUGCAGUCGUGUAGUGCUUCAGUGUACCAGGCCAGGACUAGGCUUACCGUGAUUAUUGUGUGGAGUGCAUGUGUUCUGCAAUCAAACGGUAAUGCAACUGUGACGUACGAGAGUACGAUACAUGUAAGAAGCGUGAUCUCAGAGACUGUCAACACCUACUGCCUGCAAUGGUUUAUCUAGUCUGUCGAAACAAGUGAAUUAUCAGAAGUCUUGUCGACAGAGAGAUAAAUCACUGUUUGUGGUCUACCACACCGUCAGUCCUUUGGAGCAUCCGCGACAUUCAACAUUGCGCAAUUGGCCCGUUCGGUGGAACUAACCGGCAUCGCGUUCGCACGUGAAAGCUAUAGUCCGACAUGGUGCAAAACGUGUUCGUACAGGUUCCGCACAGUAGUACGGGAAGCUAUGGCGCUCAUUUUCAAAGCCACUAUCAAACUAUCCGCUUGGAGUGAGAUGUCCUCGGGCUAUUGCGGAUGUUACAUGCAGCAACCCUGUUUACCAAAACAAGCGCUACCACACACAUCGGCAUUGUGCAAUUGUUUUCUGUGCAAUAACAAAACAAUUUGAGCGUGCUUAUUACACUUUAUAAGAGAAGAGAGAGAGAGAGAAAGAGAGAGUGAGAGAGAGAGAGAAAAAUGGUUUAUAACAGGCAGCUAGAUUGCGUCAUUGCACAGAAUAAUGUGCAAAGUGGGUAUGUGCGUGUCAAUAGCUUUGGGGACGGAAAUUCCAUCAUUCGGGCUGAUUAUUCACCGUUCCAUGAAAAACACAUUACUCAUCGGAAUGCUUACUCGGAAGUAGUGAAGGCGGGAUCGGACUUUUCAAAUGCAGCAAUCAAUCGAUCAACUGCAAAUGCAUUCAAAACAUCACCAUUUGCAAUUACAACAGCAGAAGAUGAAUCGAGUCGGUGAGGUAAAACAGCUGAUCAUUUUGUGUGUAACUGUUUCGUCAUCGUGUUGCGGUACCUUCUUCAUCUUGUGACGUGCGAAACCGGACGCUAGGGACGCACCACGUGCUUGUUGAUGUUAUUUUGACACGAAACCCGCACAAACAGCAUUGUUGCCAACGCGACAAAAUAAAAUUGAACUGUACUAACUGGCAUGCAAGAGUUAAACAUAAACACCUUGAAAUAAGUAAAUAUCUUUUGUAUAGGAUAAAUUCUCACAGGCAAAUAUUAUCUUAGGAAUAAUACCUACCAUACCAUGAGGAAAAACGAAACUAUGGCAAACAAUGAUAGCGCAUCAGGGUACGUCAUAAAAUGGCUUGAAAAUAUUCAUACAUAUGGAAAUCAUAAAUAAACUCAGGCCAUGUGACAAAAUACGAGAGUAAAGAACAUGGACCGUAAAAGGUUAACGCUAGAGCCCAGCGCAUACAUUAUCGCUGCGCAAUCAGUUUCACGAAAAAGGGAUCAACGCGAAGAUCAAGGCGCGAUCGUACUAUCCGUAGUGCAGUGAAGGAAAGACCACUCAACGAAUAGCGUAAACGACGCACAGGCAAAAGAUAGGAAAAUAAACAUACGCACUUGAGCUACAGAUUUAGCCUAUCAAAUACGCAUAGGACAAUGCGCGAUGCAUUACCCAGGAUCAUAAAAAAGGUCACCCACACGAUUUCACGCUCUGGAAACGUCGCUUCAAUGGUCGGCAUACGCCCGACACUGUAGGUUUAUGUUACUUCAAGCCGAAAGAGGUUCUAUCUCUUUCGAAGCUUUUUUUUUUCAUUCUUACAAUCGAACUUUCGGGAUCGGGAUUAUUUUAGUAUAUGAGACAGGAUUUUUGAGAAUAAAUGCGACUUGUAAUUCAGACCUGAACAAAGAAGCUUGUGUGUUUCAUUAGUAGGGUUUCUUUUACAGAUCCGGGAAACGUUUCACCUUUGCCUUCCCUUCGGAUGUUGGUCCCGCACUUUGGUGUUUCUCCACUCCGUCGGAAGAAUUAGGUGAAAUAAGCCAAAAAAAAGAAAAAAA